UACGUAGGGCGCAAGCGUUUGUCCGGAAUUAUUGGGCGUAAAGAGCUCGUAGGCGGCCUGUUACGUCUGCUGUGAAAUCCCGGGGCUUAACCCCGGGCGUGCAGUGGAUACGGGCAGGCUGGAGGCAGGCAGGGGAGAACGGAAUUCCCGGUGUAGCGGUGAAAUGCGCAGAUAUCGGGAGGAACACCGGUGGCGAAGGCGGUUCUCUGGGCCUGUACUGACGCUGAGGAGCGAAAGCGUGGGGAGCGAACAGG
rnacentral:rRNA from 1 species